AGGCUGGGGAUAACAUUUGGAAACAGAUGCUGAUACCGAAUAAAACUUAGUGUCGCAUGACACAAAGUUAAAAGGCGCUUCGGCGUCACCUAGAGAUGGAUCCGCGGUGCAUUAGUUAGUUGGUGGGGUAAAGGCCUACCAAGACAAUGAUGCAUAGCCGAGUUGAGAGACUGAUCGGCCACAUUGGGACUGAGACACGGCCCAAACUCCUACGGGAGGCUGCAGUAGGGAAUCUUCCACAAUGGGCGAAAGCCUGAUGGAGCAACGCCGCGUGUGUGAUGAAGGCUUUCGGGUCGUAAAGCACUGUUGUAUGGGAAGAACAGCUAGAAUAGGAAAUGAUUUUAGUUUGACGGUACCAUACCAGAAAGGGACGGCUAAAUACGUGCCAGCAGCCGCGGUAAUACGUAUGUCCCGAGCGUUAUCCGGAUUUAUUGGGCGUAAAGCGAGCGCAGACGGUUUAUUAAGUCUGAUGUGAAAGCCCGGAGCUCAACUCCGGAAUGGCAUUGGAAACUGGUUAACUUGAGUGCAGUAGAGGUAAGUGGAACUCCAUGUGUAGCGGUGGAAUGCGUAGAUAUAUGGAAGAACACCAGUGGCGAAGGCGGCUUACUGGACUGCAACUGACGUUGA
rnacentral:rRNA from 1 species